rnacentral:rRNA from 1 species
AGAGUUUGAUCAUGGCUCAGCUUGAACGCUGGCGGCAUGGUUAAAACAUGCAAGUCGAACGCGAAACCACCUUCGGGUGGGAGUAAAGUGGCGAACGGGCGAGUAAUACCUUCCUAACGUGCCCUAAGGUGAGGGAUAGCUCGGGGAAACCCGGGGUAAUACCCGAUGAUCCCAGGCGAUCGCAUGGUUGCCUGGGCAAAGGCUUGCUGCCUUGGGAUCGGGGAACGUGCUAUCAGCUUGUUGGUGAGGUAACGGCUCACCAAGGCUAAGACGGCUAGCGGGUGUGAGAGCACGACCCGCCGCAUCGGGACUGAGACACUGCCCGGACUCCUACGGGAGGCUGCAGUAACGAAUCUUCCGCAAUGCGCGAAAGCGUGACGGAGCAAUGCCGCGUGCAGGAUGAAGCCCCUCGGGGUGUAAACUGCUGUCAGGGUUCAGGAACACAAUGACCAGACCCAAAGGAAGGGCCGGCUAACUUCGUGCCAGCAGCCGCGGUAAUACGAAGGGCUCGAGCGUUAAUCGGAAUAACUGGGCUUAAAGAGUGCGUAGGCGGACUUGAAAGUAUCAUGUGAAAUCCCACGGCUCAACCGUGGAACUGCAUGGUAAACUUCAAGUCUUGAGGUCGGUAGAGGUUGUCGGAACUCUAGGUGGAGCGGUGAAAUGCGUAGAUAUCUAGAGGAACGCCUAUGGUGAAGACAGGCAACUGGGCCGAUCCUGACGCUGAGGCACGAAAGCGUGGGUAGCGAACGGGAUUAGAUACCCCGGUAGUCCACGCCGUAAACGAUGUGUACUAGAUUGUGGAGGUUCUGACACCAUCACAGUCGAAGCAAAAGCAAUAAGUACACCGCCUGGGGAGUACGGUCGCAAGAUUAAAACUCAAAGGAAUUGACGGGGCUCACACAAGCGGUGGAGCAUGUGGCUUAAUUCGAGUCAACGCGAAGAACCUUAUCCUGGAUUUGACAUGUGCGGAUUAGGUCCUGGAAACAGGGCUAACACUCUUUGAGUGAAACGUGCACAGGUGUUGCAUGGCUGUCGUCAGCUCGUGCUGUGAAGUGUCGGGUUAAGUCCCUUAACGAGCGAAACCCCUAUCCCUAGUUGCCAGCGAGUCAUGUCGGGGACUCUAGGGAGACUGCCGGCGUCAAGCCGGAGGAAGGUGGGGAUGACGUCAAGUCCUCAUGGCCUUUAUGCCCUGGGCUGCACACGUGCUACAAUGGUACAGACAGAGCGACGCAAUACGGCAACGUGGAGCAAAUCGCACAAACUGUGCCCCAGUUCGGAUUGUGGUCUGCAACUCGACCACAUGAAGUUGGAAUCGCUAGUAAUCGCGUAUCAGCUACGACGCGGUGAAUAUGUUCCUGAGCCUUGUACACACCGCCCGUAA